GGAAGUGUGGCUGAGCGGUUUAAGGCACUUGUCUUGAAAACAAGAGACUCUUCACGGGGUCCGUGAGUUCGAAUCUCACCACUUCCG
rnacentral:tRNA from 1 species